AUAGAACAGUGCCUCUUCCUCAGAAAUAAUUCGAUAUUUCCUUCUCUCUUUUUUUCUGAAUUCGGAUCUACAUCUUCCAACCCAUGGCAAAUAUACAUGGUAGCUGAUUUCUUCAUAUGUAAUUUGUCUAAAACUGAUCAAUAUUAGUUACAUACAAAUGAAAUAACGUUUUGCUCUGUAUCUACUCUAUAGGAAGGAGAAAUAUUUCAAAAUUGUUGAAUGGAAUAUAUUUACACUUCAUAAUCCUGUAUAUAUGCAGCCAUUGCAAAGUUGAAAGUAGCCUAUGAAGGAAGCUAAUUGUCAACGGCCAAUCCCAGGGCUAGGAACUGAUCGAUCAACAUUAUAACCAGCAAACUGUUGCCCUGCAACAAGAUUAUUGGCAUGACCUUUUUUACUUGGGGAAGAAGGCGGGCAGUGCCUUUCGGAAGAGAAUUCAGAAAUACAUCUCGAGAAGAACGGUCGAUCUUCUUUUCUUCCAUACUUCUCAACAGUUUUCUUGCUUCAACACGCGGUGAAUAACACACUAGCAGAACAAUUAACAUAACAGAAACCAUGCUGCGAAAAGCCAUCGGUAUUGCAAUGAGAGAAUAAGUUGGGAGGAAAAUGAAGAUCACUGAAGCAAAACACAAGCUGUUGAGUGAAGGAGAGUGGCCAGAAAUUAGAGGAGUUUAUAGAAACAGAAUACUAGAGAAAAGAGACGAGUGAGGGUCAAGUAAGUUGGGGCUAGGUCAGGACGUAUAUAAUAAGUCAAGCAUUAACAAAGGAAUAUUAAUUUGCAUACGUUUUGGGUAGGUAUGAAUGAAUUAAGCCGCCGGCUUUUAUUGUUUCUGAGUUCAAAACUACAGUUUAUGUCCCUUUUUGGUAUGGAUUCAAUUUUUGCUCCAGUUAUCUUGGUUUUGCCAAUUGUGUUGAUCACAUAACUUGGCUUUCUCAUGAGUUGAGAAGUACAGUAUCUAAAAGUGAGUGGCUGUGUGUUGGGGGGCGGAGCUACAUGCAUGUAUUCGCCAAAAAGUUUAAUUAUGUGCUCGAGGCAAGGACAGAGCUACAUGUAUUCGUCAAAAAAUUUAACUAUGUAAGUUGGGUAAAAUUAAAUUUUUUAUAUGCAUAAAUUUCAUUUAAAAAUGAAAAAUUUCUAGUGUAAUGGCAAAAGUGACCCAAAAAUUACUUUAGGUUGCGGAACCAAAUUUCAAGCAUAGAAUUUUUGUAUUUUCUUGGCUGUUCUUAUUUAAAUUUUUGGCUCCGUCACCUGCUCAAAAGUCCGGAAAAUACAGACAUUGUAAACAAUGAAUGUACAUAGGUUGGGUUAGUUCGGAUUUUACAAUUACCAAAUCAAAC
rnacentral:lncRNA from 1 species